CUCUUCACCUGCUUUUUCUGAUUGAGCUUCUUCAGUUCUUUGUCUGAGGUAUCAUUGAAGAGGUCUAGCUCCUCGAUCUUCGUGGUCAGGCUGAAAAGUGCCAAUCAACAGGUACUGGAGACCCGUCCCUCAGAUAAAGACCAGUGUACCUGCAGUCUUUUCAGCUGUAGCAUCAGCAUGCUGGACGUUGUCCUCUUCUCCUCCAAAGCUUCGGACAGGGAAUUCAAGACGAUUCAGCCACCCCGUUAGGGAGUAAGCUCUCUGCUAUGCAGGUUCAAGCUCCCUUAGGCUCU